GUCGAACGGUAACAGGUCUUCGGAUGCUGACGAGUGGCGAACGGGUGAGUAAUACAUCGGAACGUGCCCGAUCGUGGGGGAUAACGAGGCGAAAGCUUUGCUAAUACCGCAUACGAUCUACGGAUGAAAGCGGGGGAUCUUCGGACCUCGCGCGGACGGAGCGGCCGAUGGCAGAUUAGGUAGUUGGUGGGAUAAAAGCUUACCAAGCCGACGAUCUGUAGCUGGUCUGAGAGGAUGAUCAGCCACACUGGGACUGAGACACGGCCCAGACUCCUACGGGAGGCAGCAGUGGGGAAUUUUGGACAAUGGGCGAAAGCCUGAUCCAGCCAUGCCGCGUGCAGGAUGAAGGCCUUCGGGUUGUAAACUGCUUUUGUACGGAACGAAAAGCCUCUUUCUAAUAAAGAGGGGUCAUGACGGUACCGUAAGAAUAAGCACCGGCUAACUACGUGCCAGCAGCCGCGGUAAUACGUAGGGUGCAAGCGUUAA
rnacentral:rRNA from 1 species